rnacentral:sRNA from 1 species
AUCUAUCGCGUGAGGGGUAGUAGUGGAAAUCCUUUUGCGAAAUGGAAUGUAGCAAAAGAUUGCAACGGAUAACCCGACCCGAA